CCCAGUCCCUCAGGAUCUUUCAUGGACCAGGCCUGAAGCUCCACUUAGCAGCCAAGUCAGGGCUUCAGAGCAAGGUUUGUACUCUAGACAUGUCAUCUGCUUCCCACACCCGUCACCCUAGCAAGCCUUCUACCCUCUCUGCAGGCAAUCAAUCUUGAAGACAUUAAUGAUUCUGUGACAGCUUCAUGACGACUUCUUACCAGUCUCUGUCCUCACCUAAGAUCUAUGCCCCAAUAUCCCACUCAUCCCCAACUGACCUGCAUAGACAUUGGCCCGACACAGAAGCUGCCACUAUGGGCCUUACAGCUGGGAGGCUGAGUCCCAGAGGCCCAGAGUGAGGAGGCAGGUGCUGGGAGAAACUGACCAAGGGAGCUGUCUUCAGACACACCAGAAGAGGGCAUCGGAUCCCAUUACAGAUGGUUGUGAGCUACCAUGUGGUUCCUGGAAUUUGAACUCAGGACCUUCGGAAGAGCAGUCAGUGCUCUUAACCACCGAGCCACCUCUCCAGCCCGGAAUUAUUUUUUAAAAAAUUGUUUUUAAAAAUA
rnacentral:lncRNA from 1 species